rnacentral:rRNA from 1 species
AAAGAUCGGCCCGCGUCUGAUUAGCUAGUUGGUGAGGUAAUGGCUCACCAAGGCGACGAUCAGUAGCUGGUCUGAGAGGAUGAUCAGCCACAUUGGGACUGAGACACGGCCCAAACUCCUACGGGAGGCAGCAGUGGGGAAUAUUGGACAAUGGGCGCAAGCCUGAUCCAGCCAUGCCGCGUGAGUGAUGAAGGCCCUAGGGUUGUAAAGCUCUUUUGUGCGGGAAGAUAAUGACGGUACCGCAAGAAUAAGCCCCGGCUAACUUCGUGCCAGCAGCCGCGGUAAUACGAAGGGGGCUAGCGUUGCUCGGAAUCACUGGGCGUAAAGGGUGCGUAGGCGGGUCUUUAAGUCAGGGGUGAAAUCCUGGAGCUCAACUCCAGAACUGCCUUUGAUACUGAAGAUCUUGAGUUCGGGAGAGGUGAGUGGAACUGCGAGUGUAGAGGUGAAAUUCGUAGAUAUUCGCAAGAACACCAGUGGCGAAGGCGGCUCACUGGCCCGAUACUGACGCUGAGGCACGAAAGCGUGGG